UACGGGGGGGGUAAGCGUUGUUCGGAAUUACUGGGCGUAAAGGGCUCGUAGGCGGCCAACUAAGUCAGACGUGAAAUCCCUCAGCUUAACUGGGGAACUGCGUCUGAUACUGGAUGGCUUGGAUCCGGGAGAGGGAUGCAGAAUUCCAGGUGUAGCGGUGAAAUGCGUAGAUAUCUGGAGGAAUACCGGUGGCGAAGGCGGCAUCCUGGACCGGCAUUGACGCUGAGGAGCGAAAGCUAGGGGAGCAAACGGG
rnacentral:rRNA from 1 species